AAGUCGUAACAAGGUUUCCGUAGGUGAACCUGCGGAAGGAUCAUUAACGAAUAACUAUGGUGUCUUGGUUGUAGCUGGCUCCUCGGAGCAAUGUGCACGCCCGCCAUUUUUAUCUUUCCACCUGUGCACCGACUGUAGGUCUGGAUGACUCUCGUACUCCGGUGCGGAUGCGAGGAUUGCUCUUGGGCUCUCCUCGAAUUUCCAGACUCUACGUCUUUUUACACACCCCAAACGUAUGAUACAGAAUGUAGUCAAUGGGCUUGAUCGCCUAUAAAACACUAUACAACUUUCAGCAACGGAUCUCUUGGCUCUC
rnacentral:misc_RNA from 1 species